rnacentral:lncRNA from 1 species
ACUAAACAAAAAGUUACAAAGUGAACUUGCGGUGCCUCCCUGAAGGGAAAUGUAGUUAUAAUUCCAGCGCAGUGGCUCUCUCUCAGUGGCGUGAGACUUUCUACAACAGAAUGACUAAAUGCCCAGAAUGUCCCAUCACUGAACCAGGAGCCAUUAUCAAGAGGACUGUAAGGGAAGCCUCCCUCCAAUGAAUAUUCAGAAUGAUGUUUUCAUUUAUUAGGUUGAAGCAUUUAAGGGAAAUAGUUUAAGUUGGGUAUGCUUUAGAAAAUGAUCAUAUAGAGCAUUGGGUCUGGCAGCUCUGUAGAAAGAAGCAGCUGAAAGUGUUCCUCCCUCUGUUUGUAUGCUUCUGGAAGCCGUCAGAGGCCAUCUGUCAGACCAACCUGGCCUGUCUUCUGUGCUGUCACACAGGGCUGGGGCAUGUGGGCAGAAUUAAUGUGCCAGAGAUUCAGCUACUAGAAAAGAGAUUACAUUUGUUUUCUGAGAACUUUGUUAAGAACCUCCCUGGGAUUGGAGAGAUGGUUCAGCAGUUAAAAUCAUUGACUGUUCUUCCAGAGGAUGUAGGUUCAAUCCCUAGCACCCACAUGACAUUCACAACUAACUGCCUGUGACUCUAGUCCCAAGGGUUACUAUGCCCCCAUCAUGCUCCAGGCAUCCACAUGGUACAUAAACAUACAUGAAGGAAAAACACCCAUACACAUAAAUAAUAAAAGUGUUCAACUGUCUUCAUCACAAACAGCAACCCUGACAGUUUCUGACUUACCC